rnacentral:rRNA from 1 species
UGGGGAAUAUUGCACAAUGGGGGAAACCCUGAUGCAGCGACGCCGCGUGAGCGAAGAAGUAUUUCGGUAUGUAAAGCUCUAUCAGCAGGGAAGAAAAUGACGGUACCUGACUAAGAAGCCCCGGCUAACUACGUGCCAGCAGCCGCGGUAAUACGUAGGGGGCGAGCGUUGUCCGGAAUUACUGGGCGUAAAGGGUGCGUAGGCGGUACUUUAAGUUGGAUGUGAAAUCCCCGGGCUUAACCUGGGGCCUGCAUCCAAUACUGGAGAACUAGAGUGCAGGAGAGGGAAGCGGAAUUCCUAGUGUAGCGGUGAAAUGCGUAGAUAUUAGGAAGAACACCAGUGGCGAAGGCGGCUUUCUGGACUGUAACUGACGCUGAGGCACGAAAGCGUGGGGAGCAAACAGGAUUAGAUACCCUGGUAGU